rnacentral:sRNA from 1 species
UGUUAGCCCAGAUUGCAACGAAAAUCCUUUUUAUUUUUUCUUUAAAAAUGAAAAGAUUGUAGUGGAAAGCUGGAAAUAGC